ensembl:lncRNA
GAAAGGUGGAAGAACCAUUAAGAGGUCUGACCUAAUAAAAGGGAGUUACCACCUCAGAAGUAACGGAUUCAUCCGGAGCACAGCAGCCAGGCAACGCUCUACAGAGAUUCCAAAGGCAGGAGGAUGGUCUCCAUGGGAACCAAGGGGGACUUUUCAGAAGAAAUGAGGGUUGACUGUUAUGUUACUUAAGGAAAAGGGGGUUAAGUCUUGGCAUCCCAGCCACAAAAUUCAUAUACAUAUAAGAUUCUCUUUUCCUCCAUACCUAUGCCCUGCCUCAAAGAAAGGAAGAAAGGAAAAAGAAAGAAAGAAAGAAAGAAAGAAAGAAAGAAAGAAAGAAAGGAAGGAAGGAAGAAAGAAAGAAGGAAGACAAAGAAAGAAAGGAAAUAAACCUGAAAAUUACAUCAAAGGAAAAUGAUGCAUGAAGUUAUUGAAUGCUUAGUGUUACAGAUGCUGUUCCCAUGGAGAUCAUUCCCAGCAACGGCACAGUCUCACCCAAGAAACGGACUCUGACUUGAGUCCUUAUCUUACUUUUGUUCAUGAGAAGAAUUUGAAUGGCAUGUGCCAACAGAUGUGGUUUGAAGCAGCCAGAAGACACACCAAACAAAUUCAACUUCUUCCAGGUCUACGACGAGCACUGGCCUUUUGCCUCAGGACUCUUGUGCUUUCCCCUCUGCCUGAGAAAUUGCUGAUGGGGCUGUGAGAUAACCAGAACUUCAAGACUCAGCUAGGAUUUUGCACAUCCUUUGUUGGGGCAUUCUUCCAAUCUGCUUGCCACAAUGGAUACUGUUUAAGAGGAACUUAUCCUAGAGAAACUGAUAUAGAAGACUAUCAAGUCUAAGCAGAGACCCCCAUGCUUGCUUUUCCCUCUGCAAGGGGUUUGUGGUUCUGCAUAGAUGUACAAACUCCUAUGCAAAAAAAGACCUCUUUCAAGAAGGCUCCACCUAUGGUGAUCAAAGAAAUAAAGGCAAUUUAUGUUUCCAUUUUCAAGUCUUCUAAGUAAC